CCUACGGGGGGCAGCAGUGGGGAAUAUUGGACAAUGGGGGCAACCCUGAUCCAGCCAUGCCGCGUGUGUGAAGAAGGCCCUCGGGUUGUAAAGCACUUUCAGUGAGGAAGAACGCCUGGUGGUUAAUACCCAUCAGGAAAGACAUCACUCACAGAAGAAGCACCGGCUAACUCCGUGCCAGCAGCCGCGAUAAUACGGAGGGUGCGAGCGUUAAUCGGAAUUACUGGGCGUAAAGCACGCGUAGGUGGCUUGAUAAGCCGGUUGUGAAAGCCCCGGGCUCAACCUGGGAACGGCAUCCGGAACUGUCAAGCUAGAGUGCAGGAGAGGAAGGUAGAAUUCCCGGUGUAGCGGUGAAAUGCGUAGAGAUCGGGAGGAAUACCAGUGGCGAAGGCGGCCUUCUGGACUGACACUGACACUGAGGUGCGAAAGUGUGGGUAGCAAACAGGAUUAGAUACCCGAGUAGUC
rnacentral:rRNA from 1 species